GGGUAGCUUACAAACUUAUUACUAAGGAACAUUAAAUAUUAACACUAGAACAGGCAGAUUUAGAAAUUUAGAAAAAGAGGAGUUUUCGUUAGCCAAUCGCAUCACACGAAGAAAGGGAUGGUUUUCACCAAAGUUCGUGGAAUAAAUUGGGACAAAAAAAGAGGUGUGAGAACGCAAAGAAUGAGAGGAAACUCUGAAGUUCCCCUGGGAAAAGGGGAAGGGGAGUCAAUGAAGCUAUCAAGUAGCUUGGAUAAGAAUCGAAUAUUUGCAGACAUUAUUCUAUCCGUUAGUGAAUCCAGAGAAAGGACGCUAAGGACGCUAAGUAAUCGUGCUGUGUAUGUUCGAUUUUAAAAACGUAAGUCACAAAGGACAGAAAACGACGCUGCACUUUCUCAAUAUUACAAGACUCAAAAGCAAUGUACGGAUUCCAAAGCAUUGAAAAGAACUCUAAAAUAGAACGAACGAAGGCGCAGUAAAUAGUUUUUAUAGGAGGGACAAGUUUAAAUUCACUCGAAAUACGUUUUAUGAAGCCUAAAACUUUGAGAGCCUUACAGCACAUGGACUCAAUUCGAAGGGAAUAGUCCAGGGUGGGCGUCAGGGUAAUACCUUAAUAUUUAACAGAAGUAACCGAUAAUAGAGAAGUUCCGUCAAUUUCAAACGAAUACUCAAUGUUAGAGAGCCUUCUACUAAAUGACAUUGAAUUGUAUUUGCUAAUAUUUAUAAUAGACUUGAUGUUAUACAAGAAAGACCGAUAUAAACCAUCGGAGCCUUCAGAUUUGACAUUUACUAGUUUAUCAAGUCCAGUUUCAAUAUCAACGUGGGUAAAAUCGCAGUUGCUUGGUAGAGUAUAGUUGGAAAAAGGCAUAGAUGUGUAAGCGCUAUUAUAAAAACUAAAAUUGAAGACAGAACUGAAAUAAAACGAGAAAAAAUGUGGAGUUGUCUGUAGCAAAAACUAGAUUGCUCGUUUAGAUUUAUAGAACUGGGGAUUUCAGUGCUAAAUUUAAGCUUCCCCACAAAUUUCCAAAAACCACGAAGGUUACACUUCAAUAAUAUUUCAGUUUGAGAAAAAUACUUCUUAUAACACAACUUUGAUUCAAACUUAAAGCGAGCUCGAAGAUUGGAGAACACAUAGUAAUUAUCCUGGCAACGCGUUAAUUUAUACUUAGCAUACGCACGUUUCCUACUAAAUAUAAUAUUUUUGAGGGAUUUAGAGUACCAAAUCGGGAACUUAGAUGGAGUAUAUGUUGUUUGAGGUACACAAUUAAGAACACAGAAAUGCAAUGCAUCAUAAAAUACAUUGGUUGCAGAGUCGAUAUCAAGAGUGUGGAAAGUUUGGGCUCAAUUAAAAGACAACAAAUAAUUACAAAUAUCAGUGUACGAUGCACGGCAGAAUUCGGAAAAAGUGUGAGAAGAAUCAAUAGUCGGGACAUAACCGUUCAUAAGCUAUAAGCUGGGAUGGUAUAAAUCAGUAGGCACAAGCGCGUUAAGAAAUUUAAUUGUGAUUGAUGUAAUAUUAUAUAUUUAAGAAUAAUCAUAACUAAAAUUAAAUAUUAACUUAAUAGUGUACAAGGACGUAUGAAAUAUUUUUUUUUUUGAGGGGGGGCUACAGCCAAUUUUAUGAUAGUUAUAAAUGCGUGUUCUUAUGAAAUGACUUACCUAUGAGACUUUCUUUUCAAGUUGUUUGAAUUGUAUAUCCCAAGUUGAUCAAAAACACCGAAAGUAUCCUUAUAAAAGUACAUCACCCCCUUCUAUCCGUUAACGUUUAUGAUAAAUCUUUAUUAUCUUAUUGGUCAAUUACAACGUACGAAAAUACAAUUUAUAGAAGUAUAUAUACGUUAUAUGUAUAAAAUAUAAAUACUUAUUUAACCGAAAGAAAAUUCAAAAAAUACAUUUUUUGGAGGUCGAUUAUAAUCUAUAUUGUUUAAAUAUAGAUUUCGUGAUUCUAAUAAUAUUUUUAUUCAAACAAAUUGUUUUUAUAGCUCUUAUAAUAGAUUUCUUUUCGUACUUGAUGAACGACAGAUUUAUAUUUCACGAUAAGUCGAUAACAAUAAGAUAAUGGUUGAUAUAUUUAAAUGGGGCGCGUUUUUUUACGCCUAUAAACUAAGAAAAUCGUUAAAAUCAGUAUAUAUAAGUAUUAGGUAUCUCAUUUUUGUAUAAGUUAAUUAAAUUGAUUGGUAUACACGUUAAAUCGUUUUGUACACAUAGUUAGGUAUUGAUAAUAUAAAUACAUUAUAGUUCCGCCAAAUUGUUUACAAAAUAUUAUUUCAUAGGUUUUUUUUCUUUGAUAAUAUUAUAUUUUUUGUGGAAUGGUCCUAAACACCCGUCACUGCAGCUAAGCAUUUUAGUUAAAUAUUGGACACGUUUUUUAUUAUAAAAACAAUAUUGUAAUCUAUUAUUAUUUUAAAUACUCCUGCCUACUCUAAUGAUAUUAUAAAUAUUCCGUUAUUUUUGACUUAAUUCGAUAUUAUUUGUAAAUUGUAAUUAAUAUUUCGAUGUAUCAAAUGUA